GUCGGUGAAGGUUGUGGAUGAAAAAAUUGGAAGCCAUGUGUUCUUCAUUAUUCAAUAGGAUUGUUUUUUUGCAUUUUUAGUUUGUGAUUUCCUAAGCUAGCUAUCUUUCUCAGCAUCGUUUUUGUUACACUACUUCUCAAAUCUCCUCGAUCAUGAGCUUGGUAAGGCCAUCGUCGCCACCGGUAAGGAGGCGAGGAUGAUCGGAACCUCAAGAUGUAAGCCAUUACCAUUGCACUUGUUUUUGCUCAACCUGAUCCAAAAUUCUAAACUCCUUUGCUUUGAUAUGAUUCGUGUGGUGCUUUAGGGCCUUAUUCGCUAAAAAAUUGAGGUAGCGCAUCAGUUUUGGGUGAAUUUCACCCUAUUCUCAUGCCCAGAUCAGGGUGAUGUGGUAAUCAUUCUGCAUUUUUUUUCUAUGUACUUGUUUGAUCCUGUGGAUUACGAAGAGAACUACCUCAGUUUUGAUCUUAACCAGAUAAAAAGGUGGAAACAGAAAGAUAUUUUAAGGGGACAUUGUGUUGAACUCGUGUUAUGAAGGGGGAAGAGUGUGUCCAUUGGUAAUGGUGAGGUCAAAUAAGCAAAAGUAUGUUGCAUCUACGUUGCAGCAAGAGUUCUUGCGCUUCCUUAGAAAUGCAACUGCAACAAGUCGUUUGUAGUUUGACUUUUGAACUGUAAGGAUUUGACAACAAGUGAAGCCAACUAAACUUACAGUUCUUCUUUCACAAUUUCGAUAUACCUAGUACCAUUCUUACUCUCUUACUUCAUCUUGUUUAACAACAAUUUUUUCAAGGAAAUCAUUGU